rnacentral:rRNA from 1 species
AGCGAACGCUGGCGGCAGGCUUAACACAUGCAAGUCGAACGGGCACUUCGGUGUCAGUGGCAGACGGGUGAGUAACACGUGGGAACGUACCUUUUGGUUCGGAACAACACAGGGAAACUUGUGCUAAUACCGGAUAAGCCCUUACGGGGAAAGAUUUAUCGCCGAAAGAUCGGCCCGUGUCUGAUUAGCUAGUUGGUAGGGUAACGGCCUACCAAGGCGACGAUCAGUAGCUGGUCUGAGAGGAUGAUCAGCCACAUUGGGACUGAGACACGGCCCAAACUCCUACGGGAGGCAGCAGUGGGGAAUAUUGGACAAUGGGCGCAAGCCUGAUCCAGCCAUGCCGCGUGAGUGAUGAAGGCCCUAGGGUUGUAAAGCUCUUUUGUACGGGAAGAUAAUGACGGUACCGUAAGAAUAAGCCCCGGCUAACUUCGUGCCAGCAGCCGCUGUAACAC